AUUGAACGCUGGCGGCAUGCCUAACACAUGCAAGUCGAACGAGUGGCGGACGGGUGAGUAAUGUCUGGGAAACUGCCUGAUGGAGGGGGAUAACUACUGGAAACGGUAGCUAAUACCGCAUACCAUCAGAUGUGCCCAGAUGGGAUUAGCUAGUGGGUGGGGUAACGGCUCACCAAGGCGACGAUCCCUAGCUGGUCUGAGAGGGUGACCAGCCACACUGGAACUGAGACACGGUCCAGACUCCUACGGGAGGCAGCAGGGGGGAAUAUUGGACAAUGGGCGCAAGCCUGAUGCAGCCAUGCCGCGUGAGUGAAGAAGGCCUUCGGGUUGUAAAGUUCUUUCAGCGGGGAGGCGGUACCCGAAGAGAAAGCAACGGCUAACUCCGUGCCAGCAGCCGCGGUAAUAC
rnacentral:rRNA from 1 species